GUGAGCGAUGAAGCCCUUCGGGGCGUAAAGCUCUUUCGACCGGAACGAUAAUGACGGUACCGGGAGAAGAAGCUGCGGCUAACUACGUGCCAGCAGCCGCGGUAAUACGUAGGCAGCAAGCGUUGUUCGGAGUUACUGGGCGUAAAGAGUGCGUAGGCGGUUUUCUAAGUUCGGUGUGAAAUCUCCCGGCUUAACUGGGAGGGUGCGCCGAAGACUGGGAAGCUGGAGUUUGGGAAAGGCAGGCGGAAUUCCUUGUGUUGCGGUGAAAU
rnacentral:rRNA from 1 species